CUACUUCACCCUCCCAAGUAGCUAGGAUUACAGGCACAUGCCACCAUGCCAGGCAGCUCUGAAUUUCCUUUGUUUGUUUGCUUUCUGAGUUGGGGUCCUCGUUCUGUCACCUAGGCUGGAGCGGACUGGUGCGUUCAUAGCUCACUGCAACUUAAAACUCCUGAGCUCAAGCCAUCCUCCACCUCAGCCUCCUGAUUAGCAGGGACUACAGGUGUGCACCACCAUGCUGGGCCAGCUCCAGAUUUCUUAUGCUCCGCAGGCUGGAGAAGUUAUGGAAGGGAUAUUCUGCAAGAUGAGGACAACUGAUUAUCAGAAGAAGGAAUGAGAACAUGAUCCUGCUUCUCUAGCUCAGUCCUCUUCACCUCUGCAAGUCUGUCCUGGAACACACUGAAACAGGCAGAGCAGCUCCCUGCAGUGGCUGAAGACCAGCGGACCUGAAACAGAGGGUCUCUGAAGCGGAGUCAGGCCUGGAACCCCAGCUGCUGCCUGAGACUCCCAGCAGCUCCCAGGGGAAACCUUGCUCAGCCGUGCCAGCUAGGAAAACUCAGCAGCUCCCAGGGGAAACCUUGCUCAGCCGUGCCAGCUAGGAAAACUCCACAGGAGGGGUGGGUUUUCAAGUCUGG
rnacentral:lncRNA from 1 species